ACUCCUGCGGGAGGCAGCAGUGGGGAAUUUUGGACAAUGGGCGAAAGCCUGAUCCAGCAAUGCCGCGUGAGUGAAGAAGGCCUUCGGGUUGUAAAGCUCUUUUGUCAGGGAAGAAACGGUGAGAGCUAAUAUCUCUUGCUAAUGACGGUACCUGAAGAAUAAGCACCGGCUAACUACGUGCCAGCAGCCGCGGUAAUACGUAGGGUGCAAGCGUUAAUCGGAAUUACUGGGCGUAAAGCGUGCGCAGGCGGUUUUGUAAGUCUGAUGUGAAAUCCCCGGGCUCAACCUGGGAAUUGCAUUGGAGACUGCAAGGCUAGAAUCUGGCAGAGGGGGGUAGAAUUCCACGUGUAGCAGUGAAAUGCGUAGAUAUGUGGAGGAACACCGAUGGCGAAGGCAGCCCCCUGGGUCAAGAUUGACGCUCAUGCACGAAAGCGUGGGGAGCAAACAGGAUUAGAUACCCUUGUAGUCCCAUGAU
rnacentral:rRNA from 1 species